rnacentral:misc_RNA from 1 species
GCGAUAUGUGGCAGAAGCAUUCAGUUGGUUUGCAAUAUGAAGGGCAUGACAAGAAAGAAAAGCAUUAUGAUGGUAAGGUAGGGGAAAUGGGUGGACGAUGAGGUUGAUGCGAGAAGAGUAGUGGCGGAGGGCUUGCUGCAGCGGUGGCCAGGUUUCCCGGCUGUCGGGACAGAGAGGGUCGAAGAAGGCCUCGAUAGAGACGGUAGAACCCUCACAGCCGGCGGCGCCGCCGUAGGGGAAGCCGUCGAAGCUGGCCGGGAUCAAGAGGCAGCGGCACAGCGGGAUGAUCAGGAACAGGGACUGCACCAGCAGGGCGUGAACGGCGG